GUGCCAUUCCCCUCACAACCAGUUUUCAGCUAACCAGGUGCACAAAGCGCAGCAGGAGCCAUUAGGGUUGGGGAUCGAAACCCGACUCUCUUGAGGACACACUUCUGCUCUUUUCAAAACCCAAAAAUCAACAAGGUUUGAGCUUAUCGAUUCUGCUACCAAGUCCCAUGGGUCCCGCUCAAAGCAGUGUAACCACCAUGCCUUCCUCUCCCGGAGACCCCAGGUCAACGAUCCUCUGAAAUGCAGCUUGCAAAGAUCCAUCCAGCUCUCCUCUCUAGCUCUGAGUCCACGUGUCGCUCGCUCAUGCCUGCUGUCAGCUCCCAUUACCUAAUUGGAAUUGAGAUGCAUCUGGCCUGCGUUUUUGUCUGCACUGCACUCCUCAUGGAGAGACCCCCUCCUCCACUUCCACAACCACCACCACCACCAUCUUACAAACAAGGAGUCUUAUUCAAACAGUCCUGCUGGGGUAGGCUUUCUUUCCUCCCAUGAUGUGCGGUCAGACGCUGGUUUUAUAAAAUAAAAUGAGAGCUGGCAACAAGCAGAUCUGCAGGAAGGCGACUAGUGCGGUUCACUACAGCUAAUAAGAGCACUGUUUAAUUCAUGAGAUCUGUCAUGCUACAGCAGCUUCUGAACUUCAAACUCUUUAUCUGUCAGCAUCUAUGACCUUGCACAUCUAGGUCUGAGAUCCAGGGUGACAUCUCUGCACUCAUGUUUUACAUUUACACAGUGUGAGUAUCACGAGGCUGGAUGUGUUGAAUCAUCAGGCGUGACAAAUAAAAGCUUCAAUGGCA